UGCUAUUAGAUUAUCACAAAAUCUUGUAUACACUUAGCACACCCAAUUAUCCAAAUAGUAUCAAAUUUUUAGUUGUAGAUAUUACACCAAUUGCAUGAACUAGCCAAAAUUGCUUGCUUAUUAUAUUAUAUAAAAUCCAAAUUACCAAUACAAAUCCUGACUUUAAACAAUUUUUAAGUCCUCCAAAACCUUCCAAAAAAAAUCCUUAUG
rnacentral:lncRNA from 1 species